rfam:Aedes aegypti strain Liverpool supercont1.64 genomic scaffold, whole genome shotgun sequence.
GGCUCGGUAGCUUAGUUAGUAAAACGUUCGUCUAGCAUACAAGAGUCCUGGGUUCGAAUCCCAGCUGUGCAC